rnacentral:rRNA from 1 species
ACUCCUACGGGAGGCAGCAGUGGGGAAUUUUGGACAAUGGGCGAAAGCCUGAUCCAGCCAUGCCGCGUGCAGGAUGAAGGCCUUCGGGUUGUAAACUGCUUUUGUACGGAACGAAACGGCCUUUUCUAAUAAAGAGGGCUAAUGACGGUACCGUAAGAAUAAGCACCGGCUAACUACGUGCCAGCAGCCGCGGUAAUACGUAGGGUGCAAGCGUUAAUCGGAAUUACUGGGCGUAAAGCGUGCGCAGGCGGUUAUGUAAGACAGUUGUGAAAUCCCCGGGCUCAACCUGGGAACUGCAUCUGUGACUGCAUAGCUAGAGUACGGUAGAGGGGGAUGGAAUUCCGCGUGUAGCAGUGAAAUGCGUAGAUAUGCGGAGGAACACCGAUGGCGAAGGCAAUCCCCUGGACCUGUACUGACGCUCAUGCACGAAAGCGUGGGGAGCAAACAGGAUUAGAAACCCCAGUAGUCCC